rnacentral:rRNA from 1 species
AAUCGGGAUUAAUACCCCAUAACAUUACGAAUUGGCAUCAAUUUGUGAUUAAAGCUCCGGCGGUUAGAGAUGGGCAUGCGUGACAUUAGCUGGUUGGUGAGGUAACGGCUCACCAAGGCAACGAUGUCUAGGGGUCCUGAGAGGGUUAUCCCCCACACUGGUACUGAGACACGGACCAGACUCCUACGGGAGGCAGCAGUAAGGAAUAUUGGUCAAUGGGCGCAAGCCUGAACCAGCCAUGCCGCGUGCAGGAAGACGGCCCUAUGGGUUGUAAACUGCUUUUAUCAGGGAAUAAACCCCCGCUCGUGAGCGGGGCUGAAGGUACCUGAGGAAUAAGCAUCGGCUAACUCCGUGCCAGCAGCCGCGGUAAUACGGAGGAUGCAAGCGUUAUCCGGAUUCAUUGGGUUUAAAGGGUGCGCAGGCGGAUUGGUAAGUCAGGGGUGAAAUCCCACAGCUCAACUGUGGAACUGCCUUUGAUACUGUCAGUCUAGAGUAUAGUUGAAGUUGGCGGAAUGCGUCAUGUAGCGGUGAAAUGCUUAGAUAUGACACAGAACACCGAUCGCGAAGGCAGCUAGCUAAGCUAUAACUGACGCUCAUGCACGAAAGCGUGGGGAUCAAACAGGAUUAGAUACCCUGGUAGUCCACGCUGUAAACGAUGAUUACUCGAUGUUGGCGAUACACAGUCAGCGUCUGAGCGAAAGCAAUAAGUUAAUCCACCUUGGGGAGUACGAUCGCAAGAUUGAAAACUCAAAGGAAUUGACGGGGGCCCGCCA